rnacentral:rRNA from 1 species
UGGGGAAUAUUGGUCAAUGGGCGCAAGCCUGAACCAGCGACGCCGCGUGAGUGAUGAAGGCCUUCGGGUUGUAAAGCUCUGUGGGGAGGGACGAAUGAGUUCAGUCGAAUAGGCUGAGCGUUGACGGUACCUCCUUAGCAAGCACCGGCUAACUCUGUG